AGGACGACGUCAAGUCAUCAUGGCCCUUACGGCCAGGGCUACACACGUGCUACAAUGGGGCGUACAAAGAGCUGCAAUACCGCGAGGUGGAGCCAAUCUCUUAAAGCGUCUCUCAGUUCGGAUUGUUCUCUGCAACUCGAGAACAUGAAGCUGGAAUCACUAGUAAUCGUAGAUCAGCUAUGCUACGGUGAAUACGUUCCCGGGUCUU
rnacentral:rRNA from 1 species